CCGACACAGGUGGUCAGGUAGAGAAUACCAAGGCGCUUGAGAGAACUCGGGUGAAGGAACUAGGCAAAAUGGUGCCGUAACUUCGGGAGAAGGCACGCUGACACGUAGGUGAAGUGAUUUACUCAUGGAGCUGAAGUCAGUCGAAGAUACCAGCUGGCUGCAACUGUUUAUUAAAAACACAGCACUGUGCAAACACGAAAGUGGACGUAUACGGUGUGACGCCUGCCCGGUGCCGGAAGGUUAAUUGAUGGGGUCAGCGCAAGCGAAGCUCCUGAUCGAAGCCCCGGUAAACGGCGGCCGUAACUAUAACGGUCCUAAGGUAGCGAAAUUCCUUGUCGGGUAAGUUCCGACCUGCACGAAUGGCGUAAUGAUGGCCAGGCUGUCUCCACCCGAGACUCAGUGAAAUUGAACUCGCUGUGAAGAUGCAGUGUACCCGCGGCAAGACGGAAAGACCCCGUGAACCUUUACUAUAGCUUGACACUGAACAUUGAGCCUUGAUGUGUAGGAUAGGUGGGAGGCUUUGAAGCGUGGACGCCAGUCUGCGUGGAGCCGACCUUGAAAUACCACCCUUUAAUGUUUGAUGUUCUAACGUGGACCCGUAAUCCGGGUUGCGGACAGUGUCUGGUGGGUAGUUUGACUGGGGCGGUCUCCUCCUAAAGAGUAACGGAGGAGCACGAAGGUUGGCUAAUCCUGGUCGGACAUCAGGAGGUUAGUGCAAUGGCAUAAGCCAGCUUGACUGCGAGCGUGACGGCGCGAGCAGGUGCGAAAGCAGGUCAUAGUGAUCCGGUGGUUCUGAAUGGAAGGGCCAUCGCUCAACGGAUAAAAGGUACUCCGGGGAUAACAGGCUGAUACCGCCCAAGAGUUCAUAUCGACGGCGGUGUUUGGCACCUCGAUGUCGGCUCAUCACAUCCUGGGGCUGAAGUAGGUCCCAAGGGUAUGGCUGUUCGCCAUUUAAAGUGGUACGCGAGCUGGGUUUAGAACGUCGUGAGACAGUUCGGUCCCUAUCUGCCGUGGGCGCUGGAGAACUGAGGGGGGCUGCUCCUAGUACGAGAGGACCGGAGUGGACGCAUCACUGGUGUUCGGGUUGUCAUGCCAAUGGCACUGCCCGGUAGCUAAAUGCGGAAGAGAUAAGUGCUGAAAGCAUCUAAGCACGAAACUUGCCCCGAGAUGAGUUCUCCCUGAGACUUAGAGUCUCCUGAAGGAACGUUGAAGACGACGACGUUGAUAGGCCGGGUGUGUAAGCGCAGCGAUGCGUUGAGCUAACCGGUACUAAUGAACCGUGAGGCUUAACCUUACA
rnacentral:rRNA from 1 species